ACUUUAGAGACCAACUAAGUUUGUUCUGGGUAUAAGUUUUCGUGUGCAUGCACACUUCACAAAAGCUUAUACCCAGAACAAACUUAGUUGGUCUCCAAGGU